GGAGGAGCCCUUAAGGUGAGGGUUCGAGAGGGUCUGUGGGAGUCCCAAGACCAUGGACUUGGCCGUGGGCUGACCAUCACUCUCACGGGCUAUGAAAAGAGAAGGGGAAGGGGAAGAAAACCGAUGGCAGAGCCUUGGGUAUUGAUGAGAACGAGCUGGGAUCCUGAUGCAGAUGAGAAGAUGUGUGAGCAAACAAGUGGAAACUGAAAGAACAUGGAGUGUUUCUAAGGAAUAUGAUGGGGCCAUCAUCUUGACCCAGAAGCCAGCCUCCCUGUCUGGGUCUCCAGGAGAGAGUCACCAUUUCCUGUCAAGCCAGUGCAAAUGGGCAUGGGGAAAUAUCUUGGAUCUGGAUAAAACUUGGACAAAGACUCGAACCCCUUAUAGCUCACAUCCUUACGUUGGCCCCCACCACCCCAGCAGCAGGAGAAGUGGAAUGGACUAAACCUUCAGCAUCAACACCAAACCAGGUGACGAAUCUGGCCAACUGUGGACCAGGGAGGCUUCCUGUGACCCAAUCUCUCAAGUGCCCAGCCAAGAACCCAGGGCUCCUGGUAAGAUAUCAUCUCCAAAUCAGCUGAUGCCCUGGGAUCACAUCGCCAUGAAGAGGGGAUGGAAGAGUUGGAAGAACCCCUUCUACCUGAGUGUCUCCCUCCCCUCACUCCUGCUCCAUGACUGGGGAAGAGAGGCAUCGGAGAAAGACAGGAGCUUCUGGGUUGUCCCUGCUGGUGGGGACUUCCUUACACAGUACAAGGCUAUUGACCCUUGGCCCUAGAGAUAUAAAUAUUGAAAUCUUUGGUUCCUACUUUCAAGGAAGCCACUGUCUAUUAGGAAAGAUGGACCCCUA
rnacentral:lncRNA from 1 species